GUGGGGAAUAUUGGGCAAUGGGCGAAAGCCUGACCCAGCAACGCCGCGUGAAGGAAGAAGGCCCUCGGGUUGUAAACUUCUUUUAUGAGGGACGAAGAAGUGACGGUACCUCAUGAAUAAGCCACGGCUAACUACGUGCCAGCAGCCGCGGUAAUACGUAGGUGGCAAGCGUUAUCCGGAUUUACUGGGUGUAAAGGGCGUGUAGGCGGGACUGCAAGUCAGAUGUGAAAUUCCAGGGCUCAACCCUGGAACUGCAUUUGAAACUGUGGUUCUUGAGUGAUGGAGAGGCAGGCGGAAUUCCGUGUGUAGCGGUGAAAUGCGUAGAUAUACGGAGGAACACCAGUGGCGAAGGCGGAUUGCUGGACAGUAACUGACGCUGAGGCGCGAAAGCGUGGGGAGCAAACAGG
rnacentral:rRNA from 1 species